AACGAACGCUGGCGGCAUGCCUAACACAUGCAAGUCGAACGAGACCUUCGGGUCUAGUGGCGCACGGGUGCGUAACGCGUGAGAACCUGCCCUUAGGUUCGGAAUAACUCCCGAAAGGGGUGCUAAUACCGGAUAAUGUCUUCGGACCAAAGAUUUAUCGCCUUUGGAUGGGCCCGCGUUGGAUUAGCUAGUUGGUAGGGUAAAAGCCUACCAAGGCGACGAUCCAUAGCUGGUCUGAGAGGAUGAUCAGCCACACUGGGACUGAGACACGGCCCAGACUCCUACGGGAGGCAGCAGUGGGGAAUAUUGGACAAUGGGCGAAAGCCUGAUCCAGCAAUGCCGCGUGAGUGAUGAAGGCCUUAGGGUUGUAAAGCUCUUUUACCCGGGAUGAUAAUGACAGUACCGGGAGAAUAAGCUCCGGCUAACUCCGUG
rnacentral:rRNA from 1 species